GCGGAAAUGAAGCAUGAUCUGGCUUGCAUCUGGUCAUGAAGAAAUUGCUGACACGUUAGUUGCAGUCCACCUCCACCAACAGGGUGGAAAACAAAGGUCGCCAUUCCGAUUAGCUGCUAUCUCCCAGUUCAAGCACUUUUGUGUCUGGACACUGGUUCCUGUGGAUGGGGUGUUACAAGCUUCACUGUCUGAUAUAGAAGACUCAGAACGGUUAAUUUGGAUCAGGUCAGGUACGUUUCAUUUAGACAUGGCAAACAUAAAGUGGUGUUUCUCAACACAACUUAGCAGUGGUCUUCAUGCAUUACUGCUACGGCCAUUAAGCGUGAAUAGAAACCUGCACAUUAUCCAUGAUGUAAAACCCUA